rnacentral:rRNA from 1 species
GAUGAACGCUGGCGGCGUGCCUAACACAUGCAAGUCGAGCGAAGCGGGGACGGGUGAGUAACACGUGGUAAACCGCCUUUAAGACCGGGAUAACUUCGGGAAACCGGUGCUAAACCUGCUACUUAGAGAUCGCUCCGCGCUGCACUAGCUAGUUGGUAGGGUAACGGCUUACCAAGGCAACGAUGCAUAGCCGACCUGAGAGGGUGAUCGGCCACACUGGGACUGAGACACGGCCCAGACUCCUACGGGAGGCAGCAGUAGGGAAUCUUCCGCAAUGGGCGAAAGCCUGACGGAGCAACGCCGCGUGAGUGAAGAAGGUUUUCGGAUCGUAAAACUCUGUUAUUAGAGAAGCGGUACCUAAUCAGAAAGCCACGGCUAACUACGUGCCAGCAGCCGCGGUAAUUC